GCCUCCGCGCGCGGCUUCUCAAACAUGGCGGCGGCGGUGUGAAGACCGGUACCGGCUCGCGGGACCAGUGUGACAAUUUGGCUCCUUUCGCUGGCGAGACCCGAGGAGAGUACCAGAAAAGAAUACCAUGGGACAAACAGUGAACGAAGAUUCAAUGGAUGUCAAGAAGGAAAAUCAAGAGAAACCUCCUCACUCAGGUACUUCUUCUGUACAAAAUGAUGAUUUCCACUGGGAAAAUUACUUGAAAGAGACUGGAUCUUUGAGUGCCCCUUCGGAGUGUUUCAGACAGUCCAAGGUUCCACCAGCUAAUGACUUCAAAGUUGGUAUGAAAUUGGAAGCCCAUGACCCUCGCAAUAUGACUUCAAUAUGUAUAGCCACGGUCGUUGGAAUUACUGGUGCCAGACUACGUUUAAGACUGGACGGUAGUGACAACAGAAAUGAUUUUUGGAGACUUGUCGAUUCUCCAGACAUACAGCCUAUUGGGACAUGUGAAAAGGAAGGGGACUUACUUCAGCCUCCACUGGGGUAUCAGAUGAAUGCUUCGUCUUGGCCAAUGUUCCUCUUACGAACACUGAAUGGAUCUGAAAUGGCACCUGCAACAAUCUUUAAGAAGGAACCACCAAAGCCACCUCUAAAUAAUUUUAAAGUGGGAAUGAAACUUGAAGCUAUAGACAAAAAGAACCCUUAUCUGAUCUGCCCUGCAACUAUUGGAGAUGUUAGAGGAGAUGAAGUUUAUAUCACAUUUGAUGGCUGGAGUGGAGCUUUUGAUUAUUGGUGCAAGUACGAUUGUCGAGAUAUUUUCCCAGUUGGGUGGUGUCGCCUGACAGGAGAUGUAUUACAACCACCAGGAACUCAUGUGCCCGUUACAAAGAAUAUAGCAAAAACACAGUCUUCUCUUUCCAAAGCAACCCAGCAUUCAAUGCAGUCUCCACAGAAAACUGCUGUAAUACUACCAACACAGCAGAUCAGGAAAUCAGGUCGCAUUAAACCACCUGGGCAGACUUCAGUCCCUAAGAAGGGAAGUGCUGUUAAAAAUCUCACACCAAGGAAAAAAGGCCCAAAAAAGGAAAAAUAUUUUCCUGUUUUGUGUUCUACAUCUUCGGCUUCUAUUAAAUCCCUGGCCAGAGACCGUCGUGUUUCGUAUGAUAAGGAUGCCACUCCUGGUACAUCUAAAAUAGUGAUGUCAACAGUCUGUGUCUAUGUAAACAAACAUGGAAACUCUGGUCCUCUUUUGGAUCAGAAGAAAAUCCAGCAGCUGCCUGACCACUUUGGCCCGGGCCCCGUGAAUGUGGUGCUCCGGCGGACCGUGCAGGCUUGUGUCGAUUGUGCCAUUGAAAGUAAGACUGUUUUUGGAUUUCUUAAGCCAGAUCAUCGUGGAGGAGAAGUGAUAACUGCUUCCUUUGAUGGGGAAACCCACUCUGUCCAGCUCCCUCCAGUGAAUAGUGCAUCAUUUGCUCUUCGCUUUCUUGAGACUUUAUGCCACAGCUUACAGUGUGAUAACCUUUUGAGUAGCCAGCCUUUUAGCUCUUACAGAGGUAAUACUUCUAGUCCUGCAGAGCAUGAUAAAAAAUCAGUUAAAGAAGACGUAACACAAAAAAGCCCCAAACGGCCUUCUCAGGAACCUCCACCUUAUGUUGUUCCUGUGUCACCUAAACUCCCCAAAACAAAGGUGUAUGCCUCCAAAGAAGAACAACUGUCUUGUGAGGGAAGUGGCAUGCCUAAAGAGGAAAAGCUUUCUGAAGAUUCCAAAAACUCACCACCAAAUCCAGCAAAUGCUUUAAGCCCUACCAGCAGAAAUCCUGUAAGCACUCAUGCUGCAGUCUCCAGGAGUUUUUCUCCGAGCGUGCCAAGCACCUCAGGUUCAGCACUAGUGGGGACCAAAUCUACCAAGAGCAGUCACCAUGAAGUUAAAUUCCAAAUGCAGAAGAAAAGUGAAGCUCCAAGUUAUAUAGCUGUACCUGACCCCAGUGUCCUGAAACAAGGCUUCUCUAAGGACCCUUCAACCUGGUCUGUGGAUGAAGUGAUACAGUUUAUGAAACAUAAAGAUCCUCACAUAUCAGGCCCCCUCGCCGACCUCUUCAGGCAACAUGUAAUGUAUCUUUUGAUCCGGUUUUCCUGCCGUAAUGCCUUUCAAUGACCUCUGUGCAGGCCCUUCAGUUGGAUGGAUGCUGAUUGGUGUGGAUGGUGGGGGAACCCUAUCAACUGAUUUUUCCAUAUGUGAGAAAGGUUACUUGACCCAAAGUUAGAUUCUUAAAUGGUAGAGGCUGGAUCUGUGCUUUAAAUUGGUACCCGAGUACCUAAAAUACUACAAGUCUUCAAGUUCUCAAGAGAAGAUGAUUCAGCAUGGCCACUCUCAGAUGUCUUCUCCCACAAGGAUCCUCCUCCCCACCUGCUCCCUGCUCGGCCCCAGGACCGAAAUUGAUGGGAAGGCUCUGCUACUACUCAAAAGUGAUGUGAUGAUGAAGUACAUGGGGCUGAAGCUGGGGCCGGCAUUAAAGUUAUGUUACUACAUUGAAAA